UUGAGGCUGGAGAUCUUUGCGAGAGAAGAAAUGGUCUUUUUUUCCUCCUUUAUAAUGUUUAGUGUAAUAGUUAACUAUCUUUGAAACCUGAGUUUAUAUUAUGUUGCAGGCAGAGAGGAGUUGAUCUCAACUGGAACUGGAGUGUAGAUUGAGGAAAAAAUGAGAUUGUGAUAACAACAUAGUGUGACACGUGAAGAGGCUUUAUAUGGGUCUUUGUGCACUCUGGAAUGGAGGAAUGCUUCCAUUAUAACCUGCAGAACGAAGCCGAAAAACCUUUACUCAUUGUUUAUCCAGACUCAUGACAUUCAUCUAAAUGAUGCUGAUUUCCCGGAUGCAAUUUGGUCAUGAGUUAGAAUCAAGGUGGAACACAAAAUUAAAGUAGCAGAGGUACAUUGGAGCUAUGAGUUUGUUUCUGGGGGAACGAAGAAUCAUCUAGUUUUGGUAAAUAUUAAGAACCAGGGUGUAUUCAUGUGUUCUGACAUUAACAUAUUUGAUAGGCAAAUGCAAGCUUGUGGAGAAGCUGCAGCACUCCUUUACCGAUGAUAGCUAUAGCUUGUUCUUUGAUUCUAUAAGUUGAAUGAAUUUAUCAAGUUCAAUUUUAUCACCUUCCUCAGAUUUUUUUCCUUUUCAAUUUCUUAUAUUUGGUCUUUUCUUUUUGUUGAUAAAAUGUUAAAAUCUCUUGCAGGGAGUCAAGAAGUUCCAAAGUGCAGGAAGCUCUAGAAUCCACAUCUAUUAAGAGGGGGAGGUCUUCGUGUGUGGUCUCUUACGGAUGCUGGGUUCUGGUUUGGAUUCCCUUGUACCCGUGAAUAACAUUGCUUGUGCUGUUGCUUUCUCUGAUUGCUCAUUUUUUAUUCUUUUCCUACACCAACUAGUGAUUUCUUCCAUCUGCUGAUUUUGCAAUUUCUAAAGUAUGACACUCUGAAUUGAGCAACUGUACUUUAAUGUCAUUAAUUUAAAAUAUAUGC